GAUGAACGCUGGCGGCGUGCUUAACACAUGCAAGUCGAACGGAAAGGCCCAAGCUUGCUUGGGUACUCGAGUGGCGAACGGGUGAGUAACACGUGGGUGAUCUGCCCUGCACUUCGGGAUAAGCCUGGGAAACUGGGUCUAAUACCGGAUAGGACCACAUUUUGGAUGGUGUGGUGGAAAGUUUUUCGGUGUGGGAUGAGCUCGCGGCCUAUCAGCUUGUUGGUGGGGUAAUGGCCUACCAAGGCGUCGACGGGUAGCCGGCCUGAGAGGGUGUACGGCCACAUUGGGACUGAGAGACGGCCCAGACUCCUACGGGAGGCAGCAGUGGGGAAUAGUGCACAAGGGGCGCAAGCCUGAUGCAGCGACGCCGCGUGGGGGAUGACGGCCUUCGGGUUGUAAACUCCUUUCGCUAGGGACGAAGCGUUAUGUGACGGUACCUGGAGAAGAAGCACCGGCUAACUACGUG
rnacentral:rRNA from 1 species